GAUGAACGCUAGCGGCAGGCUUAACACAUGCAAGUCGAGGGGUAGAAGUUGCUUGCAACUUUGAGACCGGCGCACGGGUGCGUAACGCGUAUGCGACCUACCUUUUACAGAGGGAUAGCCCAGAGAAAUUUGGAUUAAUACCUCAUAGUAUAUAACCUUCGCAUGUUGGUUAUAUUAAAGUUCCAACGGUAAAAGAUGGGCAUGCGUCCUAUUAGCUAGAUGGUAAGGUAACGGCUUACCAUGGCAACGAUAGGUAGGGGUCCUGAGAGGGAGAUCCCCCACACUGGUACUGAGACACGGACCAGACUCCUACGGGAGGCAGCAGUGAGGAAUAUUGGACAAUGGGCGCAAGCCUGAUCCAGCCAUGCCGCGUGCAGGAAGAAGCAUCUAUGGUGUGAAAACUGCUUUUGUACGGGAAGAAACACUCCUACGUGUAGGAGCUUGACGGUACCGUAAGAAUAAGGAUCGGCUAACUCCGUGCCAGCCGCCGCCGUAACAC
rnacentral:rRNA from 1 species